rnacentral:rRNA from 1 species
GAACGGGUGAGUAAUAUAUCGGAACGUGCCCAAUCGUGGGGGAUAACGCAGCAAAAGCUGUGCUAAUACCGCAUACGAUCUACGGAUGAAGGUGGGGGACCUUCGGGCCUCGCGCGAUUGGAGCGGCCGAUGUUAGAUUAGGUAGUUGGUGGGGUAAAGGCUCACCAAGCCGACGAUCUAUAGCUGGUCUGAGAGGACGAUCAGCCACACUGGAACUGAGACACGGCCCAGACUCC